CGGGCCGUUACCUGCGGGCUGCGCACCUAAACGCGCCGAGGGGUUUUUUCCGGCAGGAGGCUCCGCUAUGAAGGAGAGGUGUGGGGGUGGAACAAGGCCUAAAGUGCGUCCUGCGGCCGCUCGUCGGCGGGUCCCCAUCCCGUCCCUGGGGUUCGCGCCUGUAAGGGUGCUGUGCAGCCCCAGGGGCCAUCUCGUGCACAGCCAGGUGCUCGGGAUGCUGUCGCAAAGCAAGAGGAUGCUCACAGAAAGGGCGAGCCUGGACGUUUUCAACUGUGAGAGGACACAGAAGUUGUAAGCCCUCCUUGCUUAGCUGUGCCCUAUUGACCACGUCAUGUUUCUUCACCAAAGCCCUGACAGCCCUGCUGUCAGCGGAGGCCACCCAAACGCAUGGAAAGGUUGCAGGUUUAGGUGUGCCAAGCUGUGGGAAAUCGGGGCAAGAAGGCAGCAAGAGCACUCAGGAGAUCUGUCCCCUGCGGCGUGGCUGCAUAUGUGCCCCGUGACAUCGCAGUGCUCCUGAGAGCUAUGCCUCUGGAUAUGAAGUUUAUAUGAGUUAAAUCUUUGUUUGCUAAUUCUGAAACAGACUCUCUAUUGAUUUGACUUCCUGUGCUGUAAAACCCUGCUGCUUCCAUGCACAUGCUUCUGGGCCAACUGGGGGUCAACAGAUACUUCCCAGGAAAGAACUUGACGGCUUUUCCUUUCUUCACUUGAAAUGCAAAGUCCUCUCUCUUUGAACGUUAUAGAAAAGUGCAGUAAUGGCAAAGCUACAGGGGAAAUGGAUCCAUAAAUUUAAAAGGUAACAGUCGGGAGUAAUCUCUCUCUGUUCUGGUAUGGGGUACACACAGCUGGCCAACCACUGGGUGUUUCUGGAAUGCACUGCAACACCAGCAGAGGCUCGUUCUUUGUCUCCCAGUUUUAACUUGACAAGAUCCUCAAGUGUAUAUUUAUGGUUUCCUUCCUGACCUGCUCCCAGAGAUAAGUACUUUCUUGAAGUAGAUGGCAGGCCAGUACUGGCUGGGAGAAAGUUUCUCUUUACAUUGUCUAACGGAAGCUACAGAAUUUGCUCCUGAUUCCUCUGUUAAACCACCACAGCCAAAGGACAAAGCAUUUCUAGCUGAUGUACAUUUGGUUACCCUGAAAGUGAUAUAAAGAAAUUUAAAAACUCCUAUGCAGUAUAGCAUUCGAUCGUGUACUUUUUCAUGGACUUUGAUGAAGAGAGGUGGAUUACAAACUGUGAAAAUGUUCUUCAUUUCACAUGGGACAGCAUUUUCUGUUUCAUUUAUUAUACUGAGUUUUCCUACAUGGAUAUCCCUAAUACAAGUCUGCUGUGCCCCUGGGUUCUCUUUCAUAUUCACGUCACUGAAGAUUGACUUUUUUUGGACCCCAACUAUUCUGAUACAUUUAAAAAUUAUUCCUUCAACAGCAAUACUUUAGAAAGUAAAGUAGGAAUAUCCACUCAGGAAAACUCAGUAUGCUAAAAAGUGGUUUGCUAUUUUAUUUACCUUGGGAAACGGGGAAUGAUAAAUAACAACUGCUGUUUUAGAAACAGCAGAAAGCAGUAGAUUCUGCAAACUCAUCAUGCAUCUACAGCUGCAUUCAGGGCUCACACAACCUUUGGUGCAGGUCUGCUUCUCUUUCUGCUCCUGGCCUGCUAUCCUGCACCAUAAAGGGCAUGAAUGAUGCCAAAGGUCAAUAGCUGAAUUCGAGGUUCUGAUGGGGGCACAUGUCUAUUGAUAAGGCAAGAUGCAAUAGUUACAAAUAGGUGAUAAAGUAGCUUGGUCACAGUGUCCUAAUAUUUACCCUACAGAGGGCAAAUAGGUGGUGGAGCAGCUGCUCCUUCAGGAGCUCUGGGAGAGGACAAUGGUGAGGGACCACUCCAUUCCCGUGCAGACAGAGGGACUACAGCAGCCCCGGGAGGCCGCCUGGGCCCUCCGGGUCUUUGACACUGAGAGAAGCAAGGAGUACAGCAAACUUGCUUGUACAUACUCACUGAUUUUAGGAAGUUAUAAGUGCUAAACGAUCCAAGUCAUUAGCCAAAGGAGACAAGGGCCACUAAAAUCCAUGGGAAGACUCGCUGAUCUCAGCAGCCUUUGGAUAAGGUUCCAAAAAAAAGGAUGCUGGGUCAGUAAUCAUUGAGGAAAAGUAGCAGAGAAACUGCUUUAAACAGAACUUUACUUUGUAACUCACAUCUUUACUGACAAAAGUUCUCUAAUGCAAAGGACAUACUUCCACCAGCUUUUAGCUGGUUAGCGUGAAGACUGCUUUCCUUAGAUGUACACAGCAGUGAUUGUUCAGGAUAAUAAGAGGUACACGGGUAGCUGAAUUAAAAAAAGAAAACCAAACCCACAAAAAAACAAAGAAACAAACAAAAAAACCCCACAAUGGAAUUAGAGGAAGAUAAGUGAAGCAAGUCCCUGCAAGUGAGAAAGUUUCCAAUAUCCCAGUUACACAGAAAGCAAAAGGCAGCAAACUUCACGCUUGUAAGGAGAGGCAUUUGGAAAUGCUCACAUAGAACAAUCUUCAUUAAGAAGCAGGUGAGCUGCUACCACUUUUUUCAGUCAAUGAAGAACUAUUCUGCCUUUUCCAGUGUCACUUCCAACAUCACCAAGUACAGCAAUACGACAUGCAAAUGAAGUUGUUGUGAUGGAGAAUAGCCUGUUGUUUCUGAUAAUUGUCGGUGAAGAAACCAGAAGGUUGGUAUUUACAUCUCAGUAGUGAGUGAAAUGCUCCUUGGAAGAGUUAAGGGAGCCCAAGGAUGAGCAGAUCCCUGCUGUUUAAUUUAACAGUGCUGCAAGGAGCCAAGGACGUUUCACCUUCCCGCACUGCCUUGACAGUGAAGAGCUGGGGGACACAAGGAGCUGGUAAGGGACAGAACCAGGACAGCUGGUCCAGGCUGACCAAAGGAAAAUCCCAUAUCAUGUGGCAUCAUGCAGAGCAUCAAAUCUGGGGGGAGCUGGGGGGGCUGCCAUUGCUUGGGAAUGGGCUGGGUAUUGGUCAGUGGGUGGUGAGCAAUUGUGUUUUGCAUUGCUUGUUUUCUGAUUGUUUGUUGUUGUUGUUUGCUUUGUUUUGAUUUUUUUUUCCUAUUAAAUUGUCUUUUUCUCAACCCACAAGAUUUCUUUUUUUUCCACCAAUUCUCUUCCCCAUUCCAUUGGGAGUGGGAGUGAGCAAAUGGCUGCGUGAUGCUGAGCUCUCUGCCAAGCUAAACCACAGCAAUCAGUCAGUGAAAGCCAAAAGGCCAUGGCUGGGACCUUUGCACUUCUGAAGUGCUCCUACAGUGUUAUUCAGAAGGUAUGAAUAAAUAUCAAGCAGUACAUAAGCCUUACAUAACAGCCUUGAACAGGAUGCAGUUAGUCCUGAAGUCCUAUUGCCAGGCAGAAGUCCCUAUAAGAAGCCUCAUUUCUGUAGGACAACGUCAUUAUAGCAGGAAGAGACGAGAUUCAUCUCCACACACUUCUGUGAUCUCAAAGCUGGGCACUGGGAAUGAAGGCAGGAGGCAGCAGUCUCUCCAAUCAAAGCAGGAAGAUGUCAGCUCCCGUGACUGAGUGAUUCACCCCAGUCUAAAGAAGGCAGCUGAGACGAAUCAGAUGAGCUGCUCUCUAGAGACUUCUGUCUCUCCACUGACAAUAGAGAGAACCUGGACUACAAGAACAGACACAGUGCUGAACUCUAAGUGGCCAUAAUAAAGUGACAGAAAUCCUAUCUAUCACAAGCACAGACAGUGUUUUAGUGUAAAUCAUUUAAGACAUAAUAAAAACAUUUAGACGAGGAGAAAUCAAGCAUCUUUAUGCAGAGAAGCAAAUACUAAGAGGUAAUACACUUAGACAUCUGAAAAUGGUAUGCUUAUAGCUCUUUGCGUAAAUAAAGAAUAAUGCAUGCAAGCAAGGAGUAAGGAGUACCUUCAGGUACAUUCUUUAU
ensembl:lncRNA